UUUUUUAGUUAUUUGUCAAAAUUCCCCCAUAAAAUUAAACCUAAGACGGCGGAGUGAACGACGGCGGAGACAGAAAAGAUGAGAGAGAUCGAAACUGAAAACCUAU
rnacentral:sRNA from 1 species